AGAGUUUGAUCAUGGCUCAGAACGUACGCUGGCGGCACGCCUAAUACAUGCAAGUCGAACGAAGUAGCAAUACUUAGUGGCAGACGGGUGAGUAACAUGUAGGUAUCUACCCUUUGGCCUGGAAUAACACGAGGAAACUUGUGCUAAUACCGGAUAAGUCUUUACGGAGAAAGCUUUAUGCACCAUUGGAUGAGCCUGCACUUGAUUAGUUUGUUGGUGGGGUAAUGGCCUACCAAGACAAUGAUCAAUAGCUGAUUUGAGAGGAUGAUCAGCCACAUUGGGACUGAGACACGGCCCAAACUCCUACGGGAGGCAGCAGUAGGGAAUCUUGCACAAUGGAGGAAACUCUGAUGCAGCGAUGCCGCGUGAGUGAAGAAGGCCUUUGGGUUGUAAAGCUCUUUCGUCGGGGAAGAAAAUGACUGUACCCGAAUAAGAAGGUCCGGCUAACUUCGUGCCAGCAGCCGCGGUAAUACGAAGGGACCUAGCGUAGUUCGGAAUUACUGGGCUUAAAGAGUUCGUAGGUGGUUAAAAAAGUUGGUGGUGAAAUCCCAGAGCUUAACUCUGGAACUGCCAUCAAAACUUUUUAGCUAGAGUAUGAUAGAGGAAAGCAGAAUUUCUAGUGUAGAGGUGAAAUUCGUAGAUAUUAGAAAGAAUACCGAUUGCGAAGGCAGCUUUCUGGAUCAUUACUGACACUGAGGAACGAAAGC
rnacentral:rRNA from 1 species